AGGAGCAGCUUUAAUAUGAAACACCCACCAGCAAUCCUGGAUCCGCCAUUGAAUAAAGACGCAUUAUUUUCUUAUAAAUCGCAUCAUACCACGAAUGUAUUUAUAAUUCUCAACUGUUCACAGUUCGUCCGGCGUUCCUGUAUUUGUUCUUUCUAUUCAAGUUGACUUCAUCAUAAACUACACACCAUAAUUUAUGAUCAGGUAAUAUGCCUGUACGCAACAUGCACUUGAACGCUUCAAUCAUGGAGAUAUGCUUCAAUGCAUGCCAUAUAACAACAGGACAGUUUGUCACUUUGUUGUUCGUGCAAUCAACCCAAUUUCCGUCAUUGAAAAGACAUGUAGUCGGCAUGAUCAGACCUGAUAUGACAAGGCAACAGCAUAUAGGCCUACGCGAAGGUGAGUUUACCUGACAUAGCAACCAUGAUAGUACCCCAGAUGAUAGCCCAUAUCCAUCCGACGAGGAACAAAGCGAGGGCCAAUUGAAGGAUCCCAACCCAGAAGUUCAAGCAGAAGGUACCCACCUUACCCCCAUCACUCUGGCCAGGGUUAGCGCAGCAGAAGACCGCGAAACCAGCCACAAUAGUUCCUGUAUAUAUAUAAAAUGAAAAUUAAGAAGAAAUAAGGUUGUUCGCUCUCUCUCAACAGAAUCUGGUCCCUAAUCACGUUCUCAUAACAGGGACUAAUCCAUUUAGAGUGUAGUUUAGAAUGAAUUUUAGCUAUAAAAUUACCUGAAAUCCACUUUACAUAGACGUAUAACUGUUCACACCAAUGGGACUUAUUGUUCCUAAUACCUCGGUCACAUUUGUUCUACGGCGGCCGUACGGCGAGUCGAAAACGGCCGUUUUAACAUUUGUUUUUGUACCAGCUACAUAUAGGUGGCUUGAAAUUAAAUUAAUAAAAUGGCUGUUUUCCACUAGCCGUACGGCCGCCGUAGAACAAAUGUGACCGAGGUAUUAGUCUACAGCCCCUUUUAAAGUGUGGUUUCGGGAGCAAAUUAGCCAAUUAGCUCUUUGACAAUUACAGUGUGUACUUUCUUGCAAGUAAGGAAUUGGAAAUUCGGUUAAUUCUAUUACAAAUGAAUAGUAAAAGUGCUGUGGAUUUAGAUAUAAAAAAGGUCCAUGGUUCAAGUUCUUCCGUAGCAUCAAUUAUUUUUAUUUUUAUUAUUGAUAUUAUUGUUGUUGUUGUUGUUGUCGCUGAUGUAGUCAUCAUCAUCAUCAUUCAUGCCAUCAUCACUAUUAUAAUUUCAUUAUCACUAUCAUUAUUAUCUUUCUUGCUAGUUUUGUUGUUACUGUUGGUUUUAUUAUUAUGAUGGUUGAAUAUUAUUUUGUUAACAAUAGGUUAUUGACCCGCCCCCUUCUCUUGUAGAAUUAUCAAAUAAAUUAAAAUAAAAACCAUCUGAGACAUCAUGUAAUACAAAUCUUAAAGUGCCAGUUAUGGUAACGAUCUUAAGAUGAGUUUUGACAGAAUCUAAAAAGACUAUCAUAAAAGUGUUUAUGUAUAGAUUAAAUUUAUGUGCCUAAUUAUUGUAGAACAACAUGUUUAAUAACUGAGAAUAGACAAAAUAACCAUGUUAUUUCAGUCAGGUUGCGGGUCUCUUCCAAACAAUAAUGAAACAUUAGCCCUGUGACGGUAUAGUGAUCAUAAGCGUACGUGCAAUCAAUCGUUAAGAUUUCAGUUUUAUGGAGCACAGAAGGCCUAUUAUCAUGACUCCCUUAAUUCGAAAAUUUCUGUUUUCGCUUGAAUUACUUGGACGUGCAACCAUAUAGUCAUUUUGGAAACACACGUAUGUGUAUCAAAUUGCAUAAAUGGGUUUAAAAUAUAAUUGUAGUCUAAGCAAAGGGUGAAAAAAUAUGUUCACAUUGUAUUCGAAGCAUGAAACUUGGCACACAUGACCAAGAUAACAUUCUAAAAAAAUUCAGGGGAAGAGUCAAAAUUAACGCAAAAUAAUAUAGCAACGGUUGCUAGGGAACUCAUUUUCAUUAUCACCCAAUACAUAGGAUGCCUAUGGACCAAAAAAUAUUCAAUGGUUAUAAUCCGUGUUAGCAUUUGUAACUUGGAAACUACAUUACUAUGGUAACGACAUAAGGCGGGGGUAUUAAUAGCAUUCAGUUAUAUUUCUAGUGUCCUUCGCAACUGGCACCUUUGGGGAGGGAAUAGUUUGUAUAAGUAAAGGCGUACCCCAUAGUUCAAGUGGAAUUUACAAUGAGAUACUGAUGGCACUGGCGUACAGAUGGGGAGGGUGGGGAUGGAGCCCCUUAAAAGUCACGAUUAAGAAAACAAGGAGACAAGUGGGACGCCUUUGGCAGUCUUGUCCGUAUUACGCCAUUCAAUAUAACGGUAGUGCUGACUUUGAAAAGAUAAAUAAUUAUUCAAAAAUAACACCAUUAAAAAAACUUAACCUUGGUAAAGAUUUCAAUGUUGACGACGCCGAUGCUGUCGCCACCGCCGCAGUCACCGUUUCCAGCGCCGACGAAUGCAAUAAAAGGGAGAAGGAUGAAAUAUGGUAUAAUUAUCUGAAUAUUAUGUCAUAACCUAUUUAAAAAUUAGAUAUUUGUAUGAGAAAAAUCAACAACUUUGCUUGCACGCUUCGUUAGCUCUCAGCUUUCAUAAAAUGUUGCCUCAUACACUAUGUCUGCCUCUCAAAAUGUUUGACUUAUUGCGCUGGUGAAUGUUUACAUUGAUCAAAUUCAUUCUGUUACUCAAACAAAAGAACAGCAUUUCCCGUAUCUGUACGAUUUAUCCAUUUUAUAUGACACUUAAAAUAACUUUUAUUAGCAAAACAAUGUAAUAAGUAUUUCAAAUGUGAAUGAAUUUUUGUUUACAAUUUUUAAUGUUGUUUAAUCUCUGAAUAUAUUUUCAAAAACUGUUUAAAAUAUUUCCAUUUAGCAAAUAUUUUCCAUUUCAUUUGCAUCAAUGUACUAUUUUCCAUGGUUUGUGAGGUUUAUAUUGUGGUCUGGGAUGGCAUAUUAGUUUUUCUCAAGGCACCCAAUUCCUAAUAAUUAUAAAGGCAACCUUUUCCAUUCUUAUCUCAACUGUAACCAAUGAAUAAAUGAUUUGUUUUUUUUUAUUGAACACAUUUCAAA